GGGCAAGUAGCUCAAUCGGUUAGAGCACUUGGCUUACAUCCAAGAGGUUGGGGGUUCGAGUCCCUCCUUGCCCA
rfam:Ardenticatena maritima DNA, contig: NODE_34, strain: 110S.